rnacentral:lncRNA from 1 species
AUCAAACUUAUUUACAAAGUUUAUUAACAUAAAUAUACAUAUUUCUUGAAAUUUUGAACCAAAAUCUUAUCAAAUUGCUCAAGAUAUAGCUGAAGACACAACCACUAGUAACUUAGGUUACUUACUACCCUUAGAUUACAUGUACUGACAUCAAAAUCUAAUAUCUCCUUCAUUCCAACUUGAAAUCUAAUAAGCAGUAUGCAAAAAGCGUAGCUCCAAAAGUACUUUUUUUAAUUGUGGUCCUUGAUCCUCAAUUGCCAUCGAUACACAUGCGUUAUGUCAAAAAAAGUGAUAGUAGAUACAAAACUAACACCUUAAUUUUUAGCA